CAAGAAGACUACUAUUCAGUCAAGUAUUGCUGAAUUAGAGGUCAAGAAAGAAGUGUCUUCAAGUCAUUUAAAUUCCUUUAUUCCAGUUCUUCUGUGUGUUAGUGGAUUCUUAUUUUUCCUUUUAUUUAUUUUCCUGUUUAUUGUUUUUGUCCAGAGACGGAAGAUUAAAAGGCUUCAAGAAGAUCCUUCAUUAACUUAUUUGCAUAACAGUCGAAGGUACAGCACAAUUCUACAAAUGGAACAUCGACCUAUUGAAGGCAUUCAUAUCUACGAUCAUGCAGAUCGUAUCCUUCCUAACAGAAAAGAAAAUGAUUACAAAUACCUUUCCCCAGAAUCAUGCCCAAAGCAUAAAAAAUCACAGAAAAUAAGAAAACUUCAAGACAGGGCUAGCAAACAUUACUUUUGCCCCGCGGAGAUAGCAGAAAUAAAGGAGCAAUCAAAUUACAUUGAAAUCUUACCAGACGCCGGUACUGUGUACUAUGAACCUGCAUCAUCAUUUGAAUCGGCCGCAAUUUAUGCACAAACCACUAAACGAAGACCGUACUCAACAAUAAAUGAAGUAC